UACGUAGGGUGCGAGCGUUAAUCGGAAUUACUGGGCGUAAAGCGUGCGCAGGCGGCGCGUUAAGUCAGGUGUGAAAGCCCCGAGCUUAACUUGGGAAUUGCGCUUGUGACUGGCGUGCUGGAGUGUGGCAGAGGGAGGUGGAAUUCCACGUGUAGCAGUGAAAUGCGUAGAGAUGUGGAGGAACACCGAUGGCGAAGGCAGCCUCCUGGGCCAGCACUGACGCUCAUGCGCGAAAGCGUGGGGAGCAAACAGG
rnacentral:rRNA from 1 species